AUUGAACGCUGGCGGCAUGCCUUACACAUGCAAGUCGAACGGUAACAGGUCUUCGGUUGCUGUCGAGUGGCGAACGGGUGAGUAAUACAACGGAACGUGCCCGAUCGUGGGGGAUAACGAAGCGAAAGCUUUGCUAAUACCGCAUAAGAUCUACGGAUGAAAGCAGGGGACCGCAAGGCCUUGCGCGAACGGUGCGGUCGAUGGCAGAUUAGGUAGUUGGUGGGAUAAAAGCUUACCAAGCCGACGAUCUGUAGCUGGUCUGAGAGGACGAGCAGCCACACUGGAACUGAGACACGGCCCAGACUCCUACGGGAGGCAGCAGUGGGGAAUUUUGGACAAAGGGCGAAAGCCUGAUCCAGCCAUGCCGCGUGCGGGAUGAAGGCCUUCGGGUUGUAAACUGCUUUUGUACGGAACGAAAAAACUCUGGUGAAUACCUGGGGUCCAUGACGGUACCGUAAGAAUAAGCACCGGCUAACUACGUG
rnacentral:rRNA from 1 species